UUAAAGUGACAGGAUUCAUUAAUUCUGUCUGUCAGUAAAGUUAACCUAAAGAACAGAGGGAACAGAGAAAAUUACUAACUGCUCUUGACUUAAGAACGCUUGUAGCUUUGCUAAGGAUUAAUCUAUAUUUAAUUUAUAAUUUAUGCAGUGCGGACUGUAAAUGACAUUUAUUAUGGGUUUAAGUGAGGAUUGUUUUAAGUUCACUUAAAUUAAAAGUUUUUAUAUUUUUUGAAGCCUAACGCUUAAAAUUUUGGGGGAAAUCAUUUUCAUAGAGACAUCAGUAGCUAUAAUAUUAGUGAUACUGGCUUUCAUUCAUAAAAAGAUGCCAUUAAGAUACAGCUGUUUGAAAAUAAAUGGUGCCAUUGAAGAUAAGUC